rnacentral:rRNA from 1 species
UACGUAGGGCGCAAGCGUUGUCCGGAAUUAUUGGGCGUAAAGAGCUCGUAGGCGGUCUGUCGCGUCUGGUGUGAAAUCCCAUGGCUCAACUGUGGGCUUGCAUCGGGUACGGGCAGACUAGAGUGCUGUAGGGGAGACUGGAAUUCCUGGUGUAGCGGUGAAAUGCGCAGAUAUCAGGAGGAACACCGGUGGCGAAGGCGGGUCUCUGGGCCGGAUGACUGACGCUGGAGGAGCGAAAGCGUGGGGAGCGA